UGUCUUUAUGAAAACUGGAUACGUUUGGUUUGUUUAUUUAUUAAAAAGAGCCCUACUAGCAGAAGUUCCUCAACUUCUAAACACUUAUAUUUUGGGGUAAUUUUACCUACAUUAAUAUUCCUUUUAAGUCCUGUGAGUCUAUUCACAUUCCCCAAGUUAUGCGCAUAAGAAUACCAGUGAGUAAACACGAAUUUGAAAGAUCUGUUUCCAAAGUUCAUUAAGUACAUAAUUUGAGAAGCCUAAUUACAAAUUUGAAAAUACACAGAAAAGAAAGAGAAAUGCCUUACAUGCAGUUAUUUUCCACCAGCAAAACUAAACAGUAAUUGCUUCACCAAUUAAAACAGUAGCUGUUUCCAAACCAUUUCUCAUUAACCGUUAUAACUAUAAGCAGCAGAGCUGAGCAGCAGAAACUGUCAGCAUUCUGGAAAAACAAAUCAGAUCCUGUCACCAUCAAAAUAAAUGAUUUAUCACUAGUUUAGCUGCUUUUUAAUUUUUUUUUCCCUAAAUACAUUGCAUCUGGAAAACCUGAACAGCAGGAGAGCACCCAGGAGGUAAGAGCACAUCUGCUGCUGGGGUGGCGAGUGGCUUCAGGCUGGAAAGGCUGUGCUUAAUUGAACUGAUGAGGGAAGGGGCUGGUUUUGGAUACACUUCAGGUGGCACUCAACACAGACUCUGCCUAAUAAAAGCACAAUGUGUCCCCAAGGCCAGCACAAUCAGCCUGCCACUGGGGAGAGUGGCUGCUGUCUCUCUGCCCAGCGCCAUGGUGGAAGCAGCUGAGUCAGGAGACCAGCUGGUAUCACAGGCAGAAGCGUGAUGUGCUCUGAGAGCAGAUGCAUGUGAAGUGUGGAAGAAGUGCUAGAAAUGUGACAGCAGCCAAGAAGCUUCCCCUAAGAUCUCUGGCACAGCAUGGGGAAACUGAGUUGCCCCUGUCACCAAGCAGGAGAAAGGUGGGAGAAAUCAUCCUCUUGAAAUGCUCUCCCAAAACAAGGAGGAAACUUCUGAAACCAGACUUAUAAACAUCAGCUGCUGUCUGCUAAAGGACUCUAAGAGCUGAGGAUGCUCAAUAAAAAUAAAAAAAGGAAAACAAACUGAUUAUUUGUGCAGACAGCAAGGCAAAGGGGUUGCUACCAGCAAGUGACAUCCAAGAACCUCUCCCAUGUUCCCCUGGCACCUGGGGCACCCAUGGGAGCUCCCCAGUCCUUCUCCAGGCCCAUUCUCUGCUGCACUGAGGCAAAGUCAGAAUUUGCUAUGGACCAAGAGUCAUGUAACUCUUUCCUUAAGAACAAGCCAGAUCUGCAGCUGCAUCAUGGAUACUCUAGCUAAAAGUGAACAACAGACCAGAGAAACCCACUUUUUCAAAGUUGGGCUGGUCAAACACCCGAGGCAAAAAGGGUGUGCUUGAGGCUGGUGACCGAAUAUUAGGUAACCUGUGACAGUACUUCAUCCUUUUGGGGACUCGCAGCCUGUGCCACACCUCAGUAGCAAAUACUCCUAAAGCACAGCUUUUACUCCUUUUCAUCUCAGCUAAGACCACUUCACUAAAUAAAGAAACCCCAGGCAUUCCCAGGAGUCUUCCCCACCAGUUUUUGAAAAAAGGAGUUAGAGGCUGUUUCUAACAAAUUCUGGAUCCCAUCACAAAUUGUCUCAUUCACACAGGCACUGUCAAAUUCAAUACUAAAAUCAAAUUCAAUUUUUUCCCCACUUUCCUUGAGUUUAAGUCUGGUACCAUGAGGACAAGCAUCAGGAAACUGCAGAGAGACACUCUAUUCUUUCCAUACUUUUUUAGGACCACCUCAAUGUAACAACAACAGUGGAUGGCAGGCCUGUAUAUGUGGGAUCAAUUCUCGAGGGAGUUUAUAAGGAGACCUCAGUUUUCCAAACAGGGUCUGGGUCCAAGCUCUGAGAAAUGACAGCUCCUGCCUAAAAACAUGGUGCGGUUUAACAGGAAAAGAGAAAAAAAAUGUAGCAUUCUGCAUCCUAACUUCCCUCCCAUUUCCACAGCACUAAUACAGGAUUAGUAGUAUCUCACAAACUGCUGACAAGGUGAAGGACAAAGGAAUGGUAUUUGCAGGAAUCUGAAAUCAAUACAUAUAAAAACAAACACAGCCCAUGUACCUGGGGGAGGGGGAGGAUACAAAAGCCAAGUAAACAACUCAUUAGUCACACUGAUUCUCACCUCCUGUCUGUUGUCAUAGGGUGUUAGCACUUCCACAUCAAAUAAAUGCCACAGAUUUUCUCCUUCACCCCCUUCACCCCUCCUCUCUC